rnacentral:rRNA from 1 species
UCCAUGGGGCUUAGCGCAUAGAACGGCGAGUGAAGCGGCAACAGCUCAAAUUUGAAAUCUGGCUCUUUCAGAGUCCGAGUUGUAAUUUGCAGAGGGCGCUUUGGCUUUGGCAGCGGUCCAAGUUCCUUGGAACAGGACGUCACAGAGGGUGAGAAUCCCGUACGUGGUCGCUAGCUAUUGCCGUGUAAAGCCCCUUCGACGAGUCGAGUUGUUUGGGAAUGCAGCUCUAAAUGGGAGGUAAAUUUCUUCUAAAGCUAAAUAUUGGCCAGAGACCGAUAGCGCACAAGUAGAGUGAUCGAAAGAUGAAAAGCACUUUGGAAAGAGAGUCAAACAGCACGUGAAAUUGUUGAAAGGGAAGCGCUUGCAGCCAGACUUGCUUGCAGUUGCUCAUCCGGGCUUUUGCCCGGUGCACUCUUCUGCAGGCAGGCCAGCAUCAGUUUGGGCGGUGGGAUAAAGGUCUCUGUCAUGUACCUCUCUUCGGGGAGGCCUUAUAGGGGAGGCGACAUACCACCAGCCUAGACUGAGGUCCGCGCAUCUGCUAGGAUGCUGGCGUAAUGGCUGUAAGCGGCCCGUCUUGAAACACGGACCAAGGAGUCUAACAUCUAUGCGAGUGUUUGGGUGUCAAGCCCGAGCGCGUAAUGAGAGUGAACUGACGUGGGAACCCGCGAGGGUGCACCGUCGACCGAUCCUGAAGUGUACGGAAGGAGUGAGUUGGAGCAUGGGUGGGGGGGACGCGAGGGGUGGGAGCUAUGCUUGGAUGGGGUGGAGG